CUGUUUGAUUCUGCCUGUAAGCAUAUGCUUGUCUCAAAAAUUAAACCAUGCAUGUCUUGAGUACAUGCCUUAUUACGGCGAAACCGUGAAUGGCUCAUUAAAUCAGUUAUGGUUCCUUAGAUCGUACCUUACUACUUGGUUAACUGGGGCAAUUCUAGAGCUAAUACAUGCAGCCGAUCUCCGGCCCUCUGGGGACAAGCGCUUUUAUUAGACCAAAAGCAAUCGGACCUCGUGUCCGUAUUACGUGGUGACUCUGUAAAACUGGGCUGAUCGCACGGGAUCGUCUCGGCGACGUAUCUUUCAAAUGUCUGCCUUAUCAACUGUCGAUGGUAGGUUACGCGCCUAUUAUGGUCGUAACGGGUGACGGGGAAUCAGGGUUCAAUUCCGAAGAGGGAUCCUGAGAAACGGCUACCACAUCUAAGGAAGGUAGCAGGCGUUCAAAUUACCCACUCCCAGAACGGGGAGGUAGUGACGAAAAGGAACAAUACAAGACUCCGUAAUUGGAAUGAGUACACACUAAAUCCUAAAGGGUCAUUUGAAGGGCAAGUGGUGCCAGCAAUCGGCUGGCCAUCUGUUUUGAAUGCUCUCUU
rnacentral:ncRNA from 1 species